CAGUAAGAAUUGCUCUUAUGGGUGGCGAGUGGCGGACGGGUGAGGAAUACAUCGGAAUCUACUUUUUCGUGGGGGAUAACGUAGGGAAACUUACGCUAAUACCGCAUACGACCUUCGGGUGAAAGCAGGGGAUCUUCGGACCUUGCGCGAUUGAAUGAGCCGAUGUCGGAUUAGCUAGUUGGCGGGGUAAAGGCCCACCAAGGCGACGAUCCGUAGCUGGUCUGAGAGGAUGAUCAGCCACACUGGAACUGAGACACGGUCCAGACUCCUACGGGAGGCAGCAGUGGGGAAUAUUGGACAAUGGGCGCAAGC
rnacentral:rRNA from 1 species